GUGCACGCAAAGCUUGUUGAUUUUCAAAAAGAACUUGUAAACUUGCAGGUUGUGGAGAAUAAUCCCAAAUACUGGGAAGUUAUGUCAUCAACACUUGCUGUGGGUUGGCUAGAUAUCGUGAGAUCGGGUUUGCAUUGCCAUGGAUGGGGCCUUUUCAAGU